rnacentral:tRNA from 1 species
GCGGAAAUAGCUCAAUGGUAGAGUCCUGCCUUCCCAAGGCAGUUGUUGCGGGUUCGAAUCCCGUUUUCCGCUCCA